AAAGAUUGGAAGAGUAGUUUGAAUAAUUUCAUAUCGGUAUGGCUUGGACAAACAAGAACAUUAAUAAAGCACUAUUUCUGACAAUUGCAUUAACUGUAGGUCUUUAUAAAGGAAAAGUGCUUUUCGAGUAUGAAGAUAAAAUGAGCUCAAUUUAACUCUUAAUUUGCACAAUUUUAUUUAAACUGCAGUUUAUAUCUUAAGCAAAU
rnacentral:lncRNA from 1 species